rnacentral:rRNA from 1 species
AUGAAGGAGGACAAAAUGGCAAGUGUCAUACAGAUCAAAGAUAUGGAAUCAAAAGUUUUCCAGGCCUUGCUUAGCUUUAUUUACACCGACUCACUGCCCGAAAUGGAGAUGAACACAAUAGAGGAAGGAAAAGCCCAAGAAACAUUGUGGCUGCAACAUUUGCUCGCAGCGGCGGAUACAUAUGAUCUCCAAAGGCUGAAAGCACUAUGUGAAGAGAGGUUGUGUGAACAUAUAGACGUGAGCUCUAUGACAACUAUUCUUACUCAAGCCGAGCAGCUCAAUUGUUGUGGAAUGAAAGGGGUAUGCUUUGAGUUCUCUCAAAACUACCACUGA